rnacentral:rRNA from 1 species
UACGUAGGGUGCAAGCGUUGUCCGGAAUUAUUGGGCAUAAAGAGCUCGUAGGCGGUCUGUUGCGUCGGCUGUGAAAACCCGAGGCUCAACCUCGGGCCUGCAGUGGGUACGGGCAGACUAGAGUGCGGUAGGGGAGACUGGAAUUCAUGGUGUAGCAGUGAAAUGCGUAGAGAUCAUGAGGAAGACCAGUGGCGAAGGCGGGUCUCUGGACAGUUCCUGACACUGAGGCACGAAGGCCAGGGGAGCAAACGGG